UACGUAGGUGGCAAGCGUUGUCCGGAUUUACUGGGCGUAAAGAGCGUGUAGGCGGUUUGGUAGGUCCGCUGUGAAAACUCGAGGCUCAACCUCGAGACGCCGGUGGAAACCAUCAGACUAGAGUCCGGAAGAGGAGAGUGGAAUUCCUGGUGUAGCGGUGAAAUGCGCAGAUAUCAGGAAGAACACCCGUGGCUAAGGCGGCUCUCUAGUACGGUACUGACGCUGAGACGCGAAAGCGUGGGGAGCGAACAGG
rnacentral:rRNA from 1 species